GGUACAAUUUCUGGGAACAGUCCUUUUCUCCCUCUCCAUUGGCUGGAAUAUACACAGGAUGACUGAACAUAAGGUUUGUUUGUUUGCUUGUUUGUUUGCUUUGAGAUGGUGUCUCCCUCUAUCGCCCAGUCUGGAGUGCAGUGGCAUGAUCUCGGCUCACUGCAAGCUCUGCCUCCCGGGUUCACACCAUUCUACCUCAGCCUCCCGAGUAGCUGGGACUACAGGCGCCCGCCACCACGCCCAGCUAAUUUUUUGUAUUUUUAGUAGAGACGGGGUUUCACCGUGUUAGCCAGAAUGGUCUCGAUGUCCUGAUCUCAUGAUCUGCCCGCCUUGGCCUCCCAAAGUGCUGGGAUUACAGGCAUGAGCCACCACGCCCGGCCAAAGAUAAGGUUUUAAAGACAGCAAAGUAACAAGAUAGAGGGAGCCUCAGUCUCUGACACCUUGAAGGGUGACACCAGCCCUGCCUUGUCUAUCUGAACUUAUAUAUAUGAGAAAGACACUUCAAUAUUCCUGAAGCUGGUAUUUUUAACUUUCUCUCGCCACCACUACUAACUCUAAGUAACAAUUGGAAUGGUAAUUUAUGAAUUAUCUGAAGAUAACUGGCAUACAGACAAUAUUUUUCAGACAGGAACACAGUGUUUAUUCAGGCAUUUUAUUUCCUCCAUUAAAAUGUAUCAUUUUCCUCAUAAGGAUUUUGCAUUUUUCCCAUUGUUUAUUCUUAGACAGUAUACAGUUCCAAGUUUUGCUGCAAAUGGGAUUUUCAAAUUACAUUUCCAAUUGGCCAAUGCUAUAUUCUAUAUACAGAUUUUCUAUAUAGUACAGAUUUUCAUGGUGAACUAUUAAACAAAACUACCUUUUGUCAUUUCUAAUAGUUUUUCAACUGUUUCUCUUGGAUGUUUGUCUCUACAAUCACACUGCUCAAAAUAAGGACUAUGUUUUCUCUUCCUAAUACUUCUAUUUCUUAGGGUUAAAUGAUUGUUGCAUAGGCAACAGUCAUUAUUGUCUUAAUCCUGACUUGAAUGCAGAUGUUUGAUGAAGCUUUCUGGAAGACCUUCCUAGUCCUUAGCCAAGUUACAAAGGCUUUAUUCUAUUCUCAGCCUGAAAAAUUUAAAUCUGGAAUGUGUUCAAUCUUAGGAAAUGUUUUUCGAGCAUCUAUCAAGCUUAUGGUAUUUUUUUUUAAGUUAAAGUAAUAAAUUUCCUAAAGGAUUGAGUUACAUAAUCGUCAUGUUGCAGUUUUCAGAUAAACCCUACUCUACCAUGACACAUUAUUUUGGGAUAUUUAAUUGGUCAUGUUUUUUCAACAUGACCAGUUUCAACAAAUUACAUUUGUUCGUAAGUGAGACUGGUCUAUAGCUAUCUUUGAUGAACAAUUUUCUGGAAUAAGGAUUAUGCUAGCCUCAGAGACCAAAUUGAGAUGUUUCAACAUUUUGUAUAAUCUAGAACUGCUUAAAUAAAAUAAAGAUUCUCUUUCAUAAGUUUUUAUUUCCUUUUAAAUGCAAGCAUUACAAGGACAGUGUUUUCUUUUGUCUGAUUUUUAAAAAUUGAUUUAUUGCUAUCCACUUGCUAAUUUUUUGUUUCAUUGCAUUGUGAUGACAGGAUGGACCCUGAAUUCCUACCUAUCAACAAACAAAAAAAUAUUGUGGUUUUUGCUUCAUGGUCAUUUUUUCAUGGCAUUUGAAAACAAAUAUUCUAUAGCUAUUAAAAUUUGUGCACUAUAUAAUUCAAAAUGUUUCCUCUAUUUUGAACUCUUUAUCUGACAAUUUCUAAGCGCUGUGUUCAAAUACGUAGCUAUGAUUAUAAAUUUGACAAUUUCUUGUUUACCAAGUUUUUCUUUACAUAAUUUGAUACCAUGCCGUGCAGGUUGUGUUUUAUGAGUUAAUUUCUGAAAUCCUUGCAUGUUCUAAAAUUGGUAGAAUGUCCUUGCUGUGCCCUUACUCUUGACAGUUUCACUCAAGAUAGAAGUCUAAAUUCAAAACAGUUCUCCCUCAGAACUUCAAAAAUAGCAGUAUGUUGUAGCACUCCAACGAACAGAUGACAAGUCUGAGACCAAUGUGAUUCUUUUCCCCUUAUAGGUACACUGUUUCUCUUUAGACAUUUUGAGAUUUUUCUAAGCUUGGGAUUACACAUAUUUUGUCAGUAUUCAUCCUGCAUGACUUUUUCAUUGUUUUUGCUCAGCACUGGAGACUUCUAAUAUGAAUCUUUCAUCAGAAGAUUUUUUUUUUUUUCCUAUUCUUCACUUCUUUUUUCACUUUCUGGAACUCCUCUAUAUAUUUAUACUGUAACAUACAUACAUACAUUCAAAAAUAUUUAUUGCAUAGUAUUUACCUGGCACUGUGAUAUAUGCAGGGUAUUCAAUGGUGAAUUCUCUAUACAUAUGGCUCUUAAUCUCAUGAAGUUUAAUUUUUAAACAGAUGGUGUUCUGGGUUUUCUAUGUCUUUAAGAGAUACAUCUAUGUCUUUUACUGUAACUUCCAUCUUUUUUAUCUUUUCUUGUAAGCUCUGGAAGUAUCUUCAGCUCAAAAUUCUAGCUCAGUAAUUUGAUUCUCAGCCAUGUUUAUUCAACUAAUCAGCCUAAAACAGAGUUUAUUUUCACAACUGUUUAUUUCCAAGAUACUUCUUUAUAGCAACUUGCAUUUUUAAAAUUAGUACAAUAACCUCUAAAAUAUUUGAAGAUUAUGACAUAUAAUAUGAUGAGGAUUACAUAUGAAACUAUUAUAAGUAGUAGUAAUUAUUAUUCCAUAUAAUACUAAUUAUACUUGGUCAUUUUUUCCCCCUGAAUUGUUUCCCCAGGAAUUCUUUCUGCUUGUUAAGUUUGCUGUGUAUUUUUCAUGUUGCUCUUUUCCUUAAAUAUUUGCUGUUUCUCAUUUGUCUACUUGCAAAUGAGAGCCUAGGAGUCAACAAACUUUUUAUAUAAAGGGUAGGCUUUAAGGCCCAAACACAGUAUCUGUCAUAUAUUGUUUUGGUGUUCUACAACCCUUUAAAAAUGUAAAAUCUACUAAGAAAUAGGUAGUGGAAGGCCUGUAGAUAGCAGUUUUCCAACCAAUAAAUUUCUCAGUAUCAUUAUCUGGAGUUUAUUUUCUGGGCUUGAGUGAAAAAUUCCCUGAAGAUUGCGAUUACAGGAAACCUAGCAUUUUAAUUGUGUGAGGAAGGAGAAAGGAACAGUCAGAAGGAAAAUUGGGAAAUAGACAGCUGGCAGAUUUUUCUUUGUGUGCUUGUUUUCUAAGUAUGAGGAAUAAAGCUCCUUGUGGUAAUCACAAUAUACCUAGGGCAUUGCCACACUUCGAUGGCCCCUAUUUGUAUGCUCUGCAUUAUAUGCUCUGCACAUAUACUCUGUGAGUCUCACCUUAUUUGGCAAACAUCAAAUUGUGUUACAGCUUUAGCUUAGAGGAAUUCUGUGGACCAGCAGCUCUGAGUCAGAGACCAGAAUAACUAUCUAGUCCUUCAAAAAUCUGGCUUAGCACACUACAGACACCCCAUCUCAGAGCUGUCUCUACAACUGGAGGUAAUUCUUUAAUUAUCAUCGGCAUGUGGCUGUCAGUUCCUUGGCUCUCUUGGUUUCACCAAGAUCUAAUUCCUUGUUUUGUAUCUUCUAGAAAUAUUUCACAGCACCCUUCUUGUCUUCCUAGUGUGAUUAUAAAUCUAUCCUUAUUGCUGAAAUUUGUAUUAUUGUAUCUCCUCUACAAUUUUAAUAGAACUUUAGAAUUUAAUGACUUGAAUCAAGCAUGCCAUUUUAAUCUAACUCUCUUAAAUCUAUACUUUAUACUGAUCUAAUAAAUAAGCUACCCAUAGUACCCUUCCACACUCCAUGCUAUUUCAUACUUCCCUGUCGCCAAGGGGGCCAUCUGUCACCAUCAACAGCACCUCACCCUGACCCCUAAUAUAAUAUUUUUCAACUUUGUUUUAAAACAAAAACUGGGAAAUUUUAUCAUUGUGGGAUUCUCCGUAAUAUUUUCUGAAAGCAUUAGAAUUCACAACAGACCUCUGGGAAUUAGAGGACUGGGAAAGAAGAAGGGAAAGUCAAGAAGAGAUUAGACUAGUAUGGCUGUCUCCGAGGAGGCCUCAAAUGGUGGCAGGACCUACUGAAUUUACCAUUGCCAAGAAUCUGCCCUUCAGCCUUGCAGAUUCCCUGGAUUUGUUUGAAUACCAAAUAGAGAUACAGCACUGAGGGUAGGGACCAUAACUACCAAAAAAAGUCAAUUGUUUAUUUAUAAAAUGAACUGUAACUGUCACACAGACUAGAACAUUCCUGCCUGGACGGUUACUCCAUUUUCUGUCCAUCAACAGGUGUCAAACUGUAAUCAAAAGUUUGUAUGCCAGACGCGGUGGCUCAUGCCUAUAAUCCCAGCACUUUGGGAGGCCAAGGCAGGCAGAUCACUUGAGGUCAGGAGUUCAAGACCAACCUAACCAAUAUAAUGAAACCCCAUCUCUAUUAAAAAUACAAAAAAAUUAGCUGGGCAUGGUGGUGUGUGCCUGUAAUCCCAGUUACUCGGGAGGGCUGAGGCACAAGAAUCGCUUGAACCCAGGAAGCAGAGAUUGCAGUGAGCUGAGAUAGUGCCACUGAACUCCAGCCUGGGUGACAGAGUGAGGCUAUGUCUCAAAAAAAAAAAAAAAAGGUUGCUUGUAAUUAAUGCCACUAAAUGGUACAUUAAAAAAUGAUUAGAAUGGUAAUUUUAUGCUAUGUAUACUUUACCACAAUAAAAAAGUUUGCUUAUAUUCAAAGUAAGGACAAUUUGGUAAAUAAAUCAAAUGUUGAAUAACAUCUAAAAUAAUCUGAUAAUAUCCACUUCUACAAUAAGAACAAUCUUGCCAACAAAAACAGAGUUCUUAAAUACAUUUCAACAUGCACUAACAUUUACCUUUGUAGUUCUUUUCUCUGUUUCUACAUGUACAAGAGUGGGCUUAUUAUAUGGGAAAAUUACUACUCCUACUAACUUACCAAUAUAGUUGUAAGUAUUAAAUGAGGGGGGAAAAGUCCCCAUUUUCUGACUCCCACAGGUCUGUUAUAGAUUCCAGUGCUUUCAGAAAGUAUUAUGAAGAAUCCCCCAAACCUAUGUUUAUAUUCAAAAGGGCGGAAACUCCUGCCUUGAUAGGGGAAGAGUUACAGGCACCAGAAAUUUGUAUGAGGGCCCUAUGAAUGUCCUCAAAGUGCAAUCACUGACCACUACCUUCAAAAUCAUGUGAGAUAUUUGUUAAAAAUAUAUCACCUCCAGGAUAGGCGUGGUGGCUCAUGCCUGUAAUUCUAGCACUUUGGGAAGCUGAGGUGGGAGGACUGCUUGUGUCCAGGAGUUCAAGACUAGCCUGGGCAACAAAGCAAGACCCCAUCUCUACAAAAAAAAUAUUAGCUGAGUGUGAUGGUGCACGUCUGUGGUCCCAGCUACUUGGGAGGCUAAGGCGGGACGACCGCUUGAGCCCAGGAGGUCAAAGCUGCAGUAAGCCAUGAUCGUGCCACUGAAUUCCAGCCUGCAUGACAAAGACAGAACCUAAAGAAAAAAAAAAAAAAAGUAGAAAAAAAGAACACCUCCAAAGAAUAUGCUCUAGUAAAAUCUAGGUUGGUACCCCCAAAUCCUCGUUUCUACAAACAUUUUAGAACUACUCCCCUUUUCUAACAUUUAAGGUGACCUGAAGGAUGAAGAAUCAGCCAAGGAAAGCUGAUGGGUAUAGGCUAUAGAAUAAGAAAAUGCAAAGGUCUUUGUAGGAAAGAACUCAUCAAAAAAGUAACAAAAGGCCAUUAUGGCUGGUAAGAAUGGUAUAUGAUAUAAAGUUGUAAAGCUAGGCCAGUCUGAUCAACAUGAUAAGGAGUUCUAACUGUAUAGGUACAAAAAAAAAAAAAGCAUGAGAUUAACAUCAUCUGAAUUACAUUUUUAAAAGCUUAUACUUGUGUAGAAAACUGAAUCUAUCAUGGUAAGGGUGGAAUCAAGAUUAGUUAACAAGAAAUUAUCAUGACUUGAACUGGGUUGGUUGCAGUGGAGGUAGAAGAGUCGGCAGAUAAAUUUUGGAAGUAGAACAGACAGACUUUUUGGUAGACUGUAGGUAGAAAGUGAUAAAAAGCGAAUAAUACAGGAUAGUCCCUAGGCAUGGAGCUGAAACAACUGUGUAGGUUAUAAAUAAAUUUCUUUGGUUAUUUAGAACUAUGUAUCUCACUUUGUAAUAGAGAAAACAAGUGAUACUUGAAAACAGAAGUUGAAAGGCGUUUAAGAUCUUAUAUACAUCCUUAUUACAAAAGCAAUGCAAAUAUAAACACUAAGGAUCACAAAAACUAACCUGACUAUAAAGUAAACUGCCCGCCUACAAAUUAUCCAAUAGGAAAUACAUGAAUUUGAAUUUCUGAAUUAAGCACAGUAACAAAAUACACUUUUAUUUAUCAUUACCUUGCAAAUUAGCUAGGCUGUAUAAAGGCUCAUGCGUCCCACAAAAAAGUACUAUUUAGAUGUUCUUUCCUAUCUCUCAUUCUAAAACAUUUACCCAGUUGUUACAUAGGAUUCUUGUUACAUAAUGGUUUUCUUCCCAAAAGUUUCAUAUCUCAAUCAGACUACCAGAGACAUUGUUUUAAAAAAAAUCACUCAGCUUAGUAUCAGAAGAACCAAAUACUAAUAACCUAGAGGAAUUUAUUAUUCUUUUACCUUAGCCCUUCCACAAAUAUUUUUAAAAAUAAAGGAGAAAUAAGAGGGUAACAAGUCCUAUUAUCCUUAAAAUUUGAACUCCUAAGCAAAACGGCUUUCAAAAGCCUGCUAAGUAAAUACAGACUCCUAGAUAGUAUCCAAAUUUAUCUAGUCUUCAACUACCCUUCUCUUAUUUGGCACCAAAUCCCUAAAAUUAGAUGCAAGUAUCUAUCAGAUAUUGCUAGCUUAAAGCUAGGCAAACCUAGUUCACCUCAAAAAAAAAAAACUGUAUUGGUUCAGAAAGUCUAGUUUUAAAAGCCUUAUUUUACACAAAAAGAUAAAUUAUCUGUGGGAUUCUACAAAUGUCCAUACAUUCACCCACUUAAUACCUUACAAUUUGAUAUAUCCAUCCAUUUAUCCAUUCGAUGCCUCAAAACUUUUCUAAUUUCACUGAAAUACAGCCCCCUAUGCCAGGCAUGGUGGCUCACACCUGCAAUCCCAGCACUGUGGGAGGCCAAGACAGACAGGUCACUUGAGCCCAGGAGUUCAAAACCAGCCUGGACAACAUGGUAAAACCCUGUCUCUACAAAAACUACAAAAAUUAGCUGGGCAUGGUGGCUCACACUUAACAGUCCCAGCUACUUGGGAGGCUAAGUUGGAGGAUCGCUUGAGCCCAGGAGGUUGAGGCUACACUGCACUCCAGCCUGGGUGACAGAGUGAAACCCUGUCCCAAAAAAGAAAAAAAAAAAAAACUACGGACCCUACUCUCAAAAGAGGCCACAGUAAAGAUUGAAAAAAAUAAGAGCACUACUUUUUAGUGACAUAGACGGUUGUUUGAAAAUAAAUUAUUUAAGAAUAGAUCCUCUAUCAAGCUCAUGUUCUCUUUUUAAAUAUGUAGGUAUAUAAGCCAUAAAAAGGAAUUUUUUAAAAAGGAUAGAAAUAUUUGAAAGAGAAAUAAUUCUUUUAAAAGAAAAGUCUGCUUCUUGGUUCUUCAGCCAAAAACAGACAUGACAAAAGAACUAACACAACUACAGAAAACUUUGUAUCAAAUGUAUUUUCAGCAAGACUUGAAGAUUUGACACAGGCACAGGGAAAAGGAACAAACUUAAAAAGAGUAUAAAUAA
rnacentral:lncRNA from 10 species